GACGUAGGAUGCAAGCAUUGUCCGGAUUUAUUGGGCGUAAAGAGUUCGUAGGCGGUUUGUUAAGUCUAAUGUUAAAGAUCAGGGCUCAACCCUGGGACUGCAUCGGAUACUGGCAGACUGGAGUGUGGUAGAGGUAAGUGGAAUUUCUGGUGUAGCGGUGAAAUGCGUAGAUAUCAGAAGGAACACCAAUGGCGAAGGCAGCUUACUGGACAACAACUGACGCUGAGGCACGAAAGCGUGGGUAGCGAAAGGG
rnacentral:rRNA from 1 species